UGAUGGCAUUUUUUGUGCAGACUGAGUCAAUUGAGUGUCAUUUCGUUAUGAUGGAAUUGUUUGCAUCUAUUUUUUACUUUUAAGUAUAUUAUUCUGAUAGCCCACGUGCAACAUUAAAUGUUGUAUCUUUUUUUAUAGCUUUCCCAAAUAUUUGAUUAGGGUUGGAGCCACAUAAAUAGUAUAAUUUUUCUGGUUUCUUCUAUCUUCUAAUUACCUCUCCCUUCUCCAAAAUCUUGCAAAUGAAUAUUGAGAUACAGGUAAAGUGUUUGGAGUUAUUUGUCGAAUGCAGUAUUAGUGAAGGAAUGACUUAAUUAUUGAUCUUGAUUUAUUGUGGAUAUUCGGUGUAUGCACAGAAGGUGUUUGACAAAAUAAUUUAGAGAUGCACAGUAUGUAAUUGUGAAUUGGUUAAGAAAUUAUAUUUUCAUUUAUAUGUGUUAGUUGAGUGAAGAACGAUAAUUGCAGAUACAAAGUAUGUUUCGAUUUUUUAUUUCACUGCCAGAAUACAAGGGGAGCACAUGAAAGAUAGUAAUAAGAAACAUAAAACUUGUAUAACUUAUAUAAGACAAUUCUAAUCAUAAUAUACUUGUUAUCUUAUACUCAAAGUUGAGGGCAUUUUUUUGUCCAUUGAU